GGCAGCAGUCGUGAUCCAUCCAUAAUGGGGGAAACCCUGAAGGCCUUCGGCCGUAAAGCGGAUGAAGCAGGAAAGAAUGUAAACUCCUUAAUAGGGGAAAAUAGUGAUGGUACCUGCAGAAUAAGCCACGGCUAACUAUGUGCCAGCAGCCGCGGUAAGACAGAGGUGGCAAGCGUUGAUCGGAAUUACUGGGCUUAAAGGGUGCGCAGGUGUCUUGGCAAGUCAGAUGUGGAAGCCUAGAGCUUAACGGGAAAAUUGCAUUUGAAACUGCCGGGAUUGAGUCAGUCAGAGGAAGGCGGAAUUCCUGGUGUAGCGGUGAAAUGCGUAGAUAUCAGGAGGAACGCCGGUGGCGAAGGCAGCCAUCUGGGUUAACACUGACGCUCAGUCGCGAAAGCGUGGGGAGCAAACAGGAUUAGAUACCCUGGUAGUCCACGCCCUAAACGAUGUCUACUAGGUGUAGGGCUCGUGAGGCCUUUGUACCGCAGGGAAACCAUGAAGUUCCCCGCCUGGGGAGUACGGUCGCAAGAUUGAAACUCAAAUGAAUUGACGG
rnacentral:rRNA from 1 species